AUUGAACGCUGGCGGCAGGCCUAACACAUGCAAGUCGAGCGGAUGAAGGGAGCUUGCUCCUGGAUUCAGCGGCGGACGGGUGAGUAAUGCAUAGGAAUCUGCCUGGUAGUGGGGGAUAACGUCCGGAAACGGGCGCUAAUACCGCAUACGUCCUGAGGGAGAAAGUGGGGGAUCUUCGGACCUUACGCUAUCAGAUGAGCCUAGGUCGGAUUAGCUAGUUGGUGGGGUAAAGGCCUACCAAGGCGACGAUCCGUAACUGGUCUGAGAGGAUGAUCAGUCACACUGGAACUGAGACACGGUCCAGACUCCUACGGGAGGCAGCAGUGGGGAAUAUUGGACAAUGGGCGAAAGCCUGAUCCAGCCAUGCCGCGUGUGUGAAGAAGGUCUUCGGAUUUUAAAGCACUUUAAGUUGGGAGGAAGGGCAGUAAGUUAAUACCUUGCUGUUUUGACGUUACCAACAGAAUAAGCACCGGCUAGCUUCGUG
rnacentral:rRNA from 1 species